rnacentral:lncRNA from 1 species
AUCCAGGGAUGAUACACAGGUCAAGGGCUGCGAGAGCACUGGCUUUUCACUCUCCUGCGCCGCUACCUGAGUAAACUCCCCUAUCCUACCUUUUCUUGAGUGUGAGGUUGGCUCUGGACAUCGAAAAAUGGGAGAGAGCAAAGCCCCCAAACUCAGCCACACUGAGAGGAUGGGCAAAAGGAUCUGAGGAGACUGAGGUGGAAUCUACUCAUUUCUGCUUCAGAAAGGUAGAAAGAUCUCCAUUUUAAAGACCAAGGCAAAGCGGCUGAAGGUGAUCCACUCUGGGGGCAGUGAGAUUCUACCAAUUUCGGACUACUGAGCUGCAGCUGUCUGAGGAUCAACUGCAAAACUCAAAACAAAAACAAACAAAGAAAACCCUAAACCAAACAAAACAACAAAAGACAAACAAACAACAACAACCCACCAACUUCUCUCAGUUAUUUUCUCCAUUAAAGUAUUCAUGCCGGUAGUCCCAGCAAUCUGUAGGCAGGA